AACGAACGCUGGCGGCAUGCCUAACACAUGCAAGUCGAACGUUGCCUUCGGGCAUAGUGGCGCACGGGUGCGUAACGCGUGGGAAUCUGCCCUUGGCUUCGGAAUAACAGUUAGAAAUGACUGCUAAUACCGGAUGAUGUCCCCCUGAGAGAUCUUGGGGACCAAAGAUUUAUCGGCCAGGGAUGAGCCCGCGUAGGAUUAGGUAGUUGGUGGGGUAAAGGCCUACCAAGCCGACGAUCCUUAGCUGGUCUGAGAGGAUGAUCAGCCACACUGGGACUGAGACACGGCCCAGACUCCUACGGGAGGCAGCAGUGGGGAAUAUUGGACAAUGGGGGGAACCCUGAUCCAGCAAUGCCGCGUGAGUGAUGAAGGCCUUAGGGUUGUAAAGCUCUUUUACCAGGGAUGAUAAUGACAGUACCUGGAGAAUAAGCUCCGGCUAACUCCGUG
rnacentral:rRNA from 1 species